rnacentral:rRNA from 1 species
GGACCUGACUGCUAUCGGAUUGAUACUAAGCCAUGUGAGUCUUUGUAGCAAUACAAGGCAUACGGCUCAGUAACACGUAGUCAAUCUAACCUAUGGACGGGGAUAACCUCGGGAAACUGAGAAUAAUACCCGAUAGAUCAUUAUGCCUGGAAUGGUUUAUGGUUCAAAUGAUUCGUUCGCCGUAGGAUGGGACUGCGACCUAUCAGUUUGUUGGUGAGGUAAUGGCCCACCAAGACUAUUACAGGUACGGGCUCUGAGAGGAGAAGCCUGGAGAUGGGUACUGAGACACGGACCCAGGCCCUAUGGGGCGCAGCAGGCGAGAAAACUUUGCAAUGUGCGAAAGCACGACAAGGUUAAUCCGAGUGGUUCCUGCUAAAGGAACCUUUUGUUAGUCGUAAAACCACUGAUGAAUAAGGGGUGGGCAAGUUCUGGUGUCAGCC